AGCGAACGCUAGCGGCGGGCCUAACACAUGCAAGUCGAGCGGAGGGAGCAAUCCUUCAGCGGCGGACGGGUGAGUAACGCGUAGGUAAUGUACCUUCUGGUGGGGAAUAACCGUGGGAAACCAUGGCUAAUACCGCAUAUCGUCCUUACGGAUGAAAGCCUUCGGGCGCCAGAAGAGCAGCCUGCGUCUCAUUAUUUAGUCCUAGUUGGUGAGGUAACGGCUCACCAAGGGUACGAUGGGUAGCUGGUCUGAGAGGAUGAUCAGCCACACUGGAACUGAGACACGGUCCAGACUCCUACGGGAGGCAGCAGUGGGGAAUAUUGCGCAAUGGGCGAAAGCCUGACGCAGCCACGCCGCGUGAGUGAUGAAGGCCUUC
rnacentral:rRNA from 1 species